rnacentral:lncRNA from 1 species
GGGAGCCAUGAGGGCUCAAGGGAAGGUGUCCUGACAAAAGAGAGAGGGCAGAACAUUUCUGAAAGCUAAUGGGAAGGGUCCGGGAAGGGGACAGACUGAAGACGUGGGAGAUCUUGAGCCCUUCAGGGGCUGAGGUUGAAUCUGGUACAACAUCUCUGCCUGUAUCUGGUGCCCAGCCUAGAAGCUGGUGUAGAUGAGGGGCCAGGAAAGGGAUGGAGGAUCCUGCAGCAUGGCCUGGGAAUUCAGGACUUCAACGACAAUGAAGAAGAAAUACUGCCAAGAGCUGAGAAGUGCCUUUUACCACCCGCUGUGAGUCUGAGGCCUCCCCAGCCAUGAGGAACUGUAAGUCCAAUUAAACUUCUUUUUCUUUCCAGUCUUGGGUAUGUCUUUAUCAGCAGCAUGAAAACCGACUAAUACACCAGGUUCAAGGUGAUGCUGUUCUCAUUCCACAAAUACAGUGUUGGCUGAAUCAGUCAGCAGGAUGCCUGGUCCUCCCCAGCCGCAGCUGAGCCUAGAGUCUAUCUCCUCAUUCGAUCAAAUUUGGGGGAAGGCCAGAGUGAAUCUACCUCCCAUUUACAGACAUAAACUUACUCAUUAACUCCUCACAGUAACUCUAUGAGAUAGGCAUUACCCCUACUUUGUAGAUGCCAAAAUUAAGGCCUAGUGAGAAUUAAUGAAAAUUACCUAAAUAUCUGAAUAUAGGGGACUGCUUUCAGUGAAUUGCUACAUUAUUCCUUUCAAGAACAUGUGGUGAUACAAACUAACUGUUGGCAAAGCGUUGCCAAGCACUGGUCCUGCUGGAUCCCCAUUAACUGGAGAAAUAAGGCUUAUCUGCAAUUAGCUCAUUCAUUGUAUGCAAAUGAUACUAAUAGCUUGAAAACAGUGUGUUCUCUUAAGUAGGUUAAACAUUCCCUUCUGAAAUCUUGUUUAUACUAUUUGAGCAACAAACUCUUCUUUUUUUCUUUCUUUUUUUGAGACAGAGUCUCCUUCUGUUGCCCAGGCUGGAGUGCAGUGGCGUGAACUUGGCUCACUGCAACCUCCGCCUCCCGGAUUCAAGCGAUUCUCCUGCCUCAGGCUCCCCCGUAGCGACUAAAGGCAUGCACCACCACACCCAGCUAAUUUUUUAUUUUUAGUACAGACAGGGUUUCAUUAUGCUGGCCAGGCUGGUCUUGAACUCCUGACCUCAGGUGAUCCACCCACCUCAGCCCCCUCAAAGUGCUGGGAUUACAGGCAUGAGCCACCGUGCCUGGCCCAAACUCUUCUUUUAUGGAGCAAGACAAACUCAGCCAGACCAGGCUGGGAGAAGGAUUACAAAUUGUCACUCAUUUGAGAUGAGACAUGGAGGUGUUGACAAGUGCUUGCCAACCUCACUAAUGGGAACCCAUGGAACAGAGGGCCAGCAAGAUUCAGCAUCACCUGAAUUAUUAAGCAUUUGUUGAGAGAUGAAAAUGGCUUCUUUUCUACCACCUGGAGAAACUCAAACUUUUUGCCAACGAAGUCUUGCCAACUGGAUGUCCUGCUGGGCCUACUUUAAUGAACAGAUAAGACUCCAUUUUAAUUAGCACACUAAUUGUUUCCAUGCAAAUGAAUGUGGGGAAAGAUCUUGCAAACAGUUUAUUUCCUUAAGUGGGUUACCAUGGUGCCCCCUGUAGCCCUGUGUAGGGGGCUCAAUUGCACAGCCAACUGUUUUGUUCAUUGAAGAGCACAAAUCCAGCUCAUCAAGCAUCUCCUGAACACAGCCCCUGUGCUGGGCUCUGUGCAAGAGUUGGGGAAUAAACCACACCCAGACCCUAUCUUCUAGGAGCCCACUGUAGAAGUCAAAGGUGAGAGUUGCUAAACUCUGUUGGGUAGAGCUCCUGGUUGUAAGCAACAGAAAUAAAUUCAGGAUAAUUGAUACAAAACAGAUGUAUUGGAGAGGUUAGGGGCAGAGGCAGGCCGGGCAGCAGGAGCCAUCUGGUAGGUACGCUGCCACUACUCAGACUCACCUCUGCCUGCCCCUGUGUCCUUGUGGCAUCAAGGCCAUUGCCUCUUGCCCGGAUGACCUCUGUAUUCUUCUCGCUGGUAUCCUGACUUCCCCUCUGGCCACCCCGCAAUACAUUCUCUCCAUGGCAACCAGAGGACACAUUUAAAACUGAAACUAGACAAUGCCACUGAAGGAAACCAAAAUAUUUCUCUCCAACAUAGGAUUUAUGGGUCUUUGUUAAAAUACCAUUCAGGCAAAACUCCUAAGCCACUGCCUUAAGAGAGAAAUACUUUUGAACUGAAGCCUCACCCACAUGAUGGGUAUAGCAUGUGUUAAUAAACUUCAGUUUGUUUUUCUUCUGUUAAUCUGACUUUUGUUUUCAGGAGAGUAUCUCAACUAUGGGCCUAAGAAGAGAAAGAAAAAAAAUUGUGAUUUCUUCCCUAGACCACCAGUGUGUGCCAAAACCUCUGAAGACCCAGUGUCCAGAGUUUGGUUUUCAAUAUUCUUCUCUAAAAAAAUAAACCACUGCUACCUGGAGAAAUGUCUGGUCCUAAGACUGGGCUGGAAAUACAGAAGAUGAGUCUGCGUCAGAGUAAGAAAAUGCUAAAAAGAAAUCAGUGAGGGUGUACCAAAAGGACAGAGGUGCCAACUGAAAGAGCUCCUCAUGGCCCAAACUAGAUAAUCUGAUUAAGGAAUUAAACAAUGUAGUAUUGCAGUAUAACUCAAAGUAUAAAGAAAAUAUCUAUGAUAUCUGUAUCUAUAAUAUCUAUGAGUCUGUACUGAUAUAAAUAGAUGAUUGAAUAAGUAAAUAAAUAAGGAAGAAUAGAUGAAUCUGCCACAGAGACGAGUUCCAAAUAAUUUUUGUAGAUACUCCCUGCAUCAAGGAGGCAGAACAUGACACUUCACCCUAUAAGCUGCAAACAGUGACUUCCUUCUCUAGGGUAGAGUAUGGCAAGGGGAAAAAAGAAUAGGUUCACAGCAGAGAAAUGUGGCAAACACCACCUCAGCCAGGUGAUCAAGGUCCGCAUCAACAGUAAUAAGUUGUGUUAGUAGCAUGCACUCUUAAUAUCAUAUGAGGAGAAGGGCACUUUACCUCUGUGGUCUUCCUCCUAAAACCCGUAAGCCCAGUCAAGAAACCCAUAACUCCAUGAGAAAAACAUCAACCAAAACCAUGUUGAAAAGACAGUCUACAAAACACUUGACCAGCAGUCCUCAAAACUGUCAAGAACACCAAAAACAAGGAAGCUCUGGAAAACUGAGGAAGGAAAUGAGAUUUAGCUCUAGGGGUGGGGCUCGGACACUAGACCAAAUUGAGGACUAGCUAAAACAGGUCAGGGUGGAAGCAGCUUUCUGUAAGAUCCGCCCAUCAGUGUGCCUUGUCAGUUUACCAUGGCCACCUGGAAGUUACUACCCAUUUCCAUGGCAACAACCCAACAACCUGGAAGUUGCCACCCUUUUUCCUAGAAAUUUUUGCAUAAACCACCCCAUUUUCUUUUUUGAGGUGGAGUCUUGUUCUAUCGCCCAGGCUGGAGUGCAAUGGCAUGAUCUUGGCUCACUGCAACCUCUGCCUCCCGGGUUCAAGCUAUCCUCCCACCUCAGCCUCCCAGUAGCUGAGAUUACAGGCAUGCCCAGCUAAUUUUUGUAUUUUUAGUAGAGAUGGGGUUUUGCCAUGUUGCCUAGGCUGGUCUGGAACUCCUGACCUCAAGUAAUCCACUUACCUCAGCUGGGAUUACAGGCAUGAGCCACUGUGCCCUGCCAAACCACUCCAUAAUUUGCAUGUAAUUAAAAGUGGGUAUACAUAUGAGCACAGAGUUGCCUCUGAGCUGCUACUCUGGGUGCACUACCUAUGGGGUAGCCCUGCUCUGCAGAGAGCAUUCCCGCUGCUGCUGCUGCUGUGCACUGCUGCGUCAAUAAAAGUUGCUGUUUAUCACCAUUGGUUCACCCUUGAAUUCUUUCCUGGGUGAAGAACCCUCCCAGGAUAAGCCCCAACUUGGAGGUUUGCCUGCCCUGUAUCAAAACCAUCACUACCAAGAAAAGCCUAAGAAGACAUGACAACUAGAAGUAAUGCAGUGUCUUGGAUGGAACACUGGAGUACAAAGGACAUCAGAUAAAAGGGAAAUCUGAAUCAAGUAUGGACCUUAGUUAAUCAUAAUGUAUCAAUGCUGGCUCCUUAGUUGUGACAAGUGAACCAUCCUAAUGCAACAUGUUAGCAAUAGGGCAGCGGUCCCCAGCCCUUUUGGCACCAGGGACCGGUUUCGGUUUCGUGGAAGACAAUUUUUCCAUGAACUGGGGUGGCAGGGGAUGGUUUCAGGAUGAAACUGUUUCACCUCAGAUUGCCAGGCAUUAGAUUACCAUAAGGAGCAUGCAACUCAGAUCCCUUGAAUGCACAGUUCACAAUAGGGUUCGUUCUCCUAUGAGAAUCCAGUGUUGCUGCUGAUCUGACAAGAGGCAGAGCUCAGGCAGUCAUGCUCACUCGCCCAUCGCUCACCUCUUGCUAUGCGGUCUGGUUCCUAACAGGCCAUGAACCAGUACCAGAACCCCAACAGGGGUUGAGGACCCUUGCAACAGGGGAAACUGGGUGUGGGGUAUGUGCGAUGUAUUAUCCUUGAAACUUUCCUGUACAUUUAAAACUAUUGUAAAAUAAGAUAUUUAUUGUAAAAAUUAAGUAAACAAAAUCUGCUGAAGGCUUCUCAGUGGACUAGGAAUAAAAUUCACCCUUCUUAUCUUGGCUGACAACACCUGUGUAACCUGGUCUCCUAUCCCCUCUCUGGCCACAUUGGCCUUCACUUGGGCUAGGACACAGGGCCUUUGCUCUUGGUGUUCCCUCCCCUAGAGUGCUCUUCCUCUUGUGCCUCUCUCUCUCUCUCAUCUUCCCUCCCUCCCUUUCCCCCACCCCACACUUCCUCCCUCUUGGCCAAGUCCUCCUUAUUGUUCACAUCUCAGCUUAAAUGCCACCUGUUUGGGGAAGCCACCUUGAGAAAUAUCUUAAGUGUACCCCCGCUGUCACUCUCCACCCCAGCAUUACAUUUGAUUCCUGCGCUGAAUCUGUGCCAAUCUCCCAUCAUUUUCUGUAAUUGUUCACCUGUUUAUUUCUCAGCAUCCCUAGCACAAUGGGCUCAGCCAUUCACAACAGUUCCCCUGGCACCUUGCAAGUAGUACUGGUUUAAUGAACAUCUGAUGGAUGAAGGGUGGAACCCAUGCCUGUCAAUUUGACAGGCAGAUGUGCUAGCCUUGUCACUCCCUUUGUGGACCUUGCUGCCUCUGGAAACCUUCCCUGAUGCCCACUUUGCACCCAAGCCUUGGUCUUUCAAUCCUCCAUACUCCCAUUCAUCCCUGUGGUUAAAGCAACGUGAUGCUUCUUAAAUACAGUCCCUGUCCUGGGUGUCAAACAACCUUGAAGCGAUUCUUACUCCAUGAUCGUAGUUACUUAGUUCCACGUACCCAAAAGUGCCUGUCAUUGCAUAAUUAGGAUGCACGAUGGAACAAAAUCAUCCCCAUGUUUUAUACCUCUAUCAUUUCCAACCUAUAUUUUUGUUACAACACCAAAAGUAAUUCAUGUAGCGAGAGGAUGGAGGGAGUACCUGGAGAACAGAGAGGGUGAUUUUCCUUUUGUCUUUCCCCAUGGCAAUAAGGAGGGAGCGCUGGUGACUUAGAGAAGAAAGCUAUUCAUCAUGUCCUCUGGAGAGAGCAGAUUCUCUUGCCCUGGAGCAUCCUACUGAGCUGGGUGCCGCGUUGUUUGUGGAACUUUCCAGAAUGAAUGAAAACCAGUAUGUCUUUGUGCUUAAGGCACAUUUCCAAUUUUCUGUGCUGACUGAGCAAAGAACUUCCUCAUCCUCGUGAAGGAUGCUUUGCAAAGUUAAAGACAACUUUUACUUAUGGAGGGAGCGGGAGACAGAGGGGUAUCCUUUAAUGCGUGCAGAGUUUCAGCCUGGGAUGAUGGAAAAGGAGAUGGAUAAUGACGGUGGUUGCAUGACCAUGUGAAAGUCCUUAU